rnacentral:rRNA from 1 species
AUGGAGGAUCUCCCGGAGGAACUGUUUGCAGAGUUUCUCAAAAGGAUCACCAGGACAAGUGAUCUGAAUUCUGUUUCCCUUGUGUCGAAGCGGCUCUACAAGAUUGAGGCAGAUCAGAGGGGUGCUAUCCAUGUUGGCUGUGGCCUUUUCUCUGCUACAGAAGCCUUGGCAUCGCUGUGCACCCGAUUCCCUAAUUUGUGUAAAGUGGAAAUCGACUACUCUGGUUGGACGGCAGGCCAUGGCAAUCAGUUGGAAAACCAAGGCAUCUCUGUGUUAUCAUCUCACUGCCCCUCGCUGACUAGUCUCGGUUUAAGCUUUUGCUCAUACAUUGAUGACUCUGGUCUUGGUUAUCUAGCCUGCUGCAAGAAACUAGCGUCCCUCAGAUUGGCCUCCACACCAAACAUAACUUCAAGAGGGCUUCUCACCGUGGCUGUUCAUUGCAAGUGUCUUUCUGCUCUCCACAUUAUUGACUGCCAUAAAGUAGGUAGCAAAGAUUGGUUGGAGUACCUUGGCUCUGUAGGAUCAUUGGAAUAG